UUGUUGAUCUCACAAAAAAACUCAUUCAUUCCUUCAAUUCAAAGGAUUACAUCACGUUGAGUGAUAUCAUUUGUGCCAGAUUGACAAUAUUAAAUGCUAGAAGAGCAAAUAAUAUUAUUUGACAAUAAUAUUAGAAUGUAUUUAAUUAUCCUCAUUAUUAUCAAUUUAACUAUUACUUUAACUAUUAUUAUUUACUUUAAUUUUUGAAGUUGUUCCUUUUCUACCUCACCUUUUAUAAAUAUGUAUAAAUUUAAAAUCGUAAACAUCAUUAUUUCAUAUAGUUUAGUUUUAAACUGAUGACUCUUAGUUCUUGGUAAUAUGUAAAAAAGUUUGAAUUUUACUUUAAGGUGGCAAGGUGGUGAACCAGCAUGGCUUCAACUGUAUGAAUAUUUUAAGCUCUAAACGACAAACAUAUUGACCAACAACAUUUCAUGAAGCUAAGCGAAAAUAUCAAAAUGAUAAUCAGUGCACUUUAGGAACCUUUAUGGCGGAGAAGAAGUAAAGGAUGUUUUUUUUUCACCUGAUCAAAGUAUAAUGAAUUCUGUCGGGAUUUUAAAAGAAAACAUUUUUUUCUUUGCAUGCACAAGAAGUUCGGAAAGGCAUACUUAUGAUUGGAAGGCAAUUAAUGAUGUUGCCUCUAAAUUGCCUUUAAAAAACCCAGCAAAUUUUAAAGCAACAAACGAUAGACAUUUAGUGAGUGAUUAUAUUCAAUAGCUCAAACUGAGUGAAAAAGUUAAAGACUCUUUUUACAAACACAUGGGCCACUCUAAAAACACAAAUGAAAAUACUUAUCAAUUGCAACCAGGCAUUGUGUCUAUCCUUAACACUGGGUUAAAGCUUUUGAAUAAAGAUUUAGAUUAUGAAGGACCAAGUUGCUCUAAAUUAAACAUUAAUCAAGAUAAUAAAGAACCAAGUUGUUCUAAAUUAAACAUAAAUCAAGAUAAUAAAUAACCAAGUUGUUCUAAAUUAAACAUAAAUAAAGAUAAUGAAGAACAAAGUUGUUCCAAAUUAACAAUAAAUCAAGAUAAUGAUAAACCAAUUGUUCUAAAUUAAACAUAAAUCAAGAUUAUGAAGAUCCAAGUUGUUCUAAUUUAAAUAUAUAUCUAGAUGAAAAAAAAAAAAAUUACGAAAUUUAUCAUAAAUGUAUUUUGUGAAAAAAAGGAAAUGUAACUUAAUAAUUAAUAUAAUAUUUUAUUGUUUUUCUUUGUUUUAAUUUAAAUGGAAAAUAAAAUAACACUGUGCAUUCUUGUAAUAAAACAAUUUGCUAUCGUUUGAUUUUUAUUUAUUUAAUAUAAUUAAUAAAAAUUUAUAACAAGUUAAAUACGAGUACCAAUGCAACACAAUUGAUGACAGUUUAACCAUCCAGAUUUUCAUUUAUGCUUUACAAAUUUGUUUUUUAUAGAAACAAUGUCGAAUAUGUAAUUUGAUAACAAACUUUGUUACAUAGUUACAGUGCCGGAAUUGCUUUUGGUUUUUAUGGAACAAAGCGUUAUACGUGGGGUCUUACGUAUAAUGAGGCCCCACGUAUUAUAGGAAAAAAUCUCUAUUUUUUUUUUUUUGGAAUAGCAAUAUUAUUUAGAUGCUGAGAGAAGUUUUGUUUUAAUGUUUUGAAGAAUUUAUGAGAAAGGGAGCUGAGUAGGCAGGAAAAUAAUUAUUUGCUAGAUCGUUUGAGAAUACAAAAUGAACUGAUUAUGAUCAUAUAUCUUUGAACAUGCAUGCUUGAAAGAGAAAGCAUUUUCCGCAAUAUCGUCUAUUGCCCCCCUUUCCUCUCUUAUCUCAAGUUCUGUAGUCAGUUUCCAAUUUGACCAAAUACUGUAAAAAAUUUAUUUUGAAAAAAAUGUUGUUGGUGUUAUAGGUUUAAGAGGUUAUUGGUU